rnacentral:misc_RNA from 1 species
GAGAACCCCUAAUGCAGCACGAGUGUCUUUCUCUCGGAAAUAUCCUCCCAUUAUGGCAUUGUACAUGUUUGUGGUAGGCAUCAAGUUAAACUUCUCCAAAUCCUUGAGCAUGUCAUAUGCACCUUCAAAAUCCUUUAUUCUCACAGUCAUGUUUAUCAUAAUCCUGAAGGUCUCACUAUUUGGCUUGAUAUCAUGACGAAGUAUCAUUGGAUACAUUCGAUGAACCAAAUUAUACUCACGGCUUUUAUCGCAGGCUUCAAGUAUGGAAUUAAAUGUCUCCAACGAUAAUGUCAAACCUGCUUCAAAC